GUCCAACUUGCUCCUCAUGUCUGACGUGUUGAGUCAAGAUGAGCUGCGAGAAAAGCUACACCAAACGUUGAAGGAUCGGGGUGUACUGGGCACACUCAAGACACAAAUUCAAAACCAGCUAAUCUAUGAGUAGAUGCACCCUGAAUUGAAUGGAACAUUGCAAUCUCCGUUCAUUUCAGUGCAAGGGAACUCCCUCUUACUAGCAGCCUCUAACUCUUCAGUGGCCGAUCACUAACAAAGAUGUGGCUAUGAGUCUUCACUUUCUGUUUUCUUUCCAGAAAUUGGUUUAGCAAAAGAAAAUGUAUUUACUAUGCAGGAUGGAUUGCACUCAAUAAAAAUCACCGUACUUCAGGUUUCUAGAAAUCACCGGUCUCAGGAUUUGAUAAAGAAAACCAAAAAUCUGACAACCUUCAGCUUAUUGGUGAUCAACUGGCAGAUGCUUAUCCUAAGCAUAUAAAGUUUGAGUCUUUAGAAAUAAAGCUAAAUGAAGAUAAGAGAGAAAUAGAAAAGCAACUUCUGGCAGAAAUGUGUCAAAAGUUGAAGUUUUUUAUGAAAGUUAUAAUAGAGUGUGAGAAGGAAUUAUCUAUGUUCUGAAAUGAUUUUGAGAAAGCUUGUCAAGCGGAAUCUGAAAACUUUAUUCUUUGGAAAAAGAGUACCCUUGAGAGACAUCAAAAGCACCAAGAGAUUGAAACAAGAAAAUCUAUGCUCAAAGCCUUGUUUUACUAAAAGAUAUAGAUUUGUUAAGAGGAAAAAAGGCAAAGCUAAAGCAGAGAGUUGAAGCUUUUGAAUUGAACCCAGGAACUCCAGGAAGAAAAACAUAAAAGCAUGACUGAGGACUUAGGAGAUGGGAGCAGAAUACAAAGUGUCUUGAGGAAACCUAUGACUGAAACCUAAAAAACGUACUUCUAAAAUAUCAACUUCAACUAACGGAUGACUACAUCAUUAGAACUAGUCGAGUGAUUGAAGAGGAAAGGAAGAAUAAAGGAAAAGCUGUUUACUUGCAAGAGGAGCUCACAGUUAGUAAUCCAAAAAAGGAGGAACUCAAUCAAUCUGUAAGUUUUAUGUAAGAACUCCAAAUUGAGUUAAUGUCUGUCAAAGCACAGUCUUUGGCAAUAACAAAACAAAUAUAUUGUGAAUGAAAGUGUUCAAGAGAUAAGUGACUAUUUACUACUAAAGGAAGAAAAACUGGAAGAGAAUAAAAAUAAAAACAUGCAUCUCUUAAACC
rnacentral:lncRNA from 1 species